rnacentral:tRNA from 1 species
AGUCUUAUAGUCAAUUAUGAUGUUAAAUUGCAAAUUUAAUGGUUUCUUUAGGGUUAAGGCUU